CUUAUAACCACUUUUAUUCAUAAAUAAAAGCCAAAACACGGCUUAUUGUUCAACAAGUACCCAAGUAAUUAAAUGUAUGCUAACUUUAUUACAUCAAAAUAUAAUGAUUAUAGCAUGCAAGAAAGUUCUUGGAGGAAGCUUGAAGUCAAUAGGCAACUUUGGAAUAAGGCUGAAUUAGCAACUCCCUAAUAUCCUAUACCAUGCCUGAUGAAGAAGCACCGGAGACCUACACUUACAUUCUCUGUAGAGGUACCAAGUUCUAGAGGUACUUGCGAGGGACCAAAAUCAAGAGCAAUAAAUGUAGAAAUGAAAAAAUAAUGUCGUGAAGGAGAAUGACCAAAUCUUGCAAAUCGCCAACAAGGAGUGCUAGCCAGUAUUAGAGUAGCGCCAAUGAUGAGAACUGAACUAGUACAAAGAAGGAUCGAUGAAGUGAACCAACGACCGAGAAUGGAGGAUAGAGGAUCGCACAAUGAUUGAUUGGCUGAAGCUAGAGUUGAACGGUGGAGCAGUCUUGUGCCGAUGAGACAAAUCGAAAGGAAGGUGAUCCAUGAUUGACAAAGAAGCAAGCCAGACAAUGGCCGAUGACCAGAAUAGGAGUUGAACGGCGAGGAAUGGGUAAGCACAUUGAACAGGAAAAGAGAGAAAGAGAGAGGAAAGAUGAGUGAAAUUGCUUUUAAAUUUAAUAAUUAUGAAAGAGUAGAGAAAGAAAGAGGUAAAGUAAUAUGAGAUUGGUUCUAAGAGUCAUUAAU
rnacentral:misc_RNA from 1 species